AACGAACGCUGGCGGCAGGCUUAACACAUGCAAGUCGAACGCGUGCAGCAAUGCACGAGUGGCGCACGGGUGAGUAACGCGUGGAUAUCUGCCUUUUGGUUCGGAAUAACCCCGGGAAACUGGGGCUAAUACCGGAUGGUUCCUACGGGAUAAAGAUUUAUCGCCAAAAGAUGAGUCCGCGUACGAUUAGCUAGUUGGUGAGGUAAUGGCUCACCAAGGCGACGAUCGUUAGCUGGUCUGAGAGGACGAUCAGCCACACUGGGACUGAGACACGGCCCAGACUCCUACGGGAGGCAGCAGUGGGGAAUAUUGGACAAUGGGGGCAACCUUGAUCCAGCCAUGCCGCGUGAGUGAUGAAGGCCUUCGGGUUGUAAAGCUCUUUUGGCGGGGACGAUGAUGACGGUACCCGCAGAAUAAGCCCCGGCUAACUUCGUGCCAGCCGCCGCGGUAAAAC
rnacentral:rRNA from 1 species